rnacentral:rRNA from 1 species
UACAGAGGUGGCGAGCGUUACUCGGAUUUAUUGGGUGUAAAGGGCAGGUAGGUGUUCUGCUAAGUUAGAAGUGAAAUCCUGCGGCUUAACCGCAGAACUGCUUUUAAAACUGGCGGAAUUGAGGACAGAAGAGGAAAGCGGAAUUCCCGGUGUAAGAGUGAAAUCUGUAGAGAUCGGGAGGAACACCCGUGGCGAAAGCGGCUUUCUGGUCUGUCCCUGACGCUGAACUGCGAAAGCUAGGGGAG